CCUGAGUGUGCUAGAGUCCUCGGAGAGUAACUGCUGAUCUUAUUCACUGGCUGUGGGCCUUGUGGCACAGUCAGUCACCAGGUUAGAGACAUGC
rnacentral:snoRNA from 10 species